GCUAUAAAUAAAAUAAUCCUAAGAAGAACAAGGGAGAAAGAGCAGUUGGGGAGCUUCAUGCAGGCUUCCUCCAUCAGCUGCUCUUAAUGAUAAAGCAAUGAGUUGGAUUUAACCACUUCCUGCCACCUACUGCCUUUUUGCCGAUGAUGUCUCUUCAGGGAAUAGAUCUUAAAGCAGAAUUUAUGGGCCAGCUGAGCCUGCAGAAGAGGUUUCCACGCCUGGCUUCCUGCCCCCAUGGUCCUGAUGCAGGAGAAAGCAGCAGCUCAGAUCCAGAGUUUAUCGGGUGGAGGAGGAGAGAGCUUGUGUCCUGUCCCCCUGGGGCUCUUCCCUGCCCUCUGUGUUUGCUUCAGCCGCCCCCCUGGAGCAUCUGGCACCAGCAUCGUGCACAGGCACUGCUCAGGGUCCAAGUGUGGCCUCGUGACAUAGAUCAUCAGGAUUUCAGAUGAUUUGAGAAGAAUGUCCCCUGCCCCCAACUCAGACCACCCCUAGACUAGAAUUUCACAGGAACAUCAUCCUUUCUUUGGCAAAGCAUUCUUCAUCUUAUAAAUGGCAGAUUCUCCUGAGGAUGGAAAAGCACCAAGCCUCCCUUCUAAUGUGAAUCUUCAUGGUCAAAGAAAUAAGGAAAGGACCAGAAGAGUCAAGACACUUGCCCAGGAUAAAGCCGUUGGUUGGCCACGGAGCUGAUCUGAUACCCUGAGACACUUGGCCAAAACUCUGCAGAUUCUUUUUUUCAAUUUUGUCCUGUUAACAUUGCCAUGGGAAAGCUAAUGGAUAUACAAUCCCCUUACAAGAUACACGGAUUUUCUCACAUUUACGUGUCCGGGAAAAUUUCAGAGCUGGAACUCAGCUCUUCUCUGGUCCCCUGUCUUACUUCUUCAAACGCUUAAUUCAGGGUGAGGUUUGCUGUAGAAUUUGUUCAGCUGAUGGAUUUCCAAUUCGAAAAGUUUCUGCUGCUUUGUCACUGUCCUAGCAAAUGGGGGGAUGCUUGUGGGAAAGAAGUUGGAGUCCUGGCUGGUUAGAGGCAUGCAUCCUUAUCACUUGUGUCUUAGAGCUGGAGGCUAAUGUUUUCCCUGGUCUCUAGACUAAAGUAUGGGACCCUUUGCUGUUCAAUAGCUUCUCUUUUUAGGGAGGAAGCUCUUUGUAUUUUUGCUCGUCUUAUCAAAGAUUUUUUUUUUUUUUUUUGAUGUGGAUCAUUUUAAAAGUCCUUAUUGAAUUUGUUACUAUAUUGCUUCUGUUUUAUGUUUUUUGGUGUUUUGGCCAAGAGACAUGUGGGGUCUUAGCUUCCUGACCAGGGAUUGAACCUGCACUCCCUGUACUGGAGAGCGAAGUCUUAACCACUGGACCACCAGGGAAGUCUGGAAGCUCUGCUUUAAUGUCUCCUCAUCCUUGGGAAUUGAUUCCUUUGUCUGUAUGUUCAUUCUUUACCUUAGGAGGCUGUGUUUGACUUUGUUGACCUGAGUCGCAGCUUUCUUCCUCUGAGAAGACUUCUGUGACCUGUUGGCAAUGCUUGUGCUCGUCUCCAUUGUUUCCUGAACAUACCUUAGAACAGCCUUGACAUAGUGCCCUGGAAUUGUUAGCUAGACUAUGAAAAAGUGAAAUGGAAAAUUUCACUCUUACAUGCAUUAUUCCAAGUGAAAGACAUCAGACUAAGAAGGAAAGAUACUAUAUGAU
ensembl:lncRNA